UCAAAGAUUCGAACCUGCAGCAGGUUCGAGUUGAGCGCAGCGAAACAACGGAGCCGCUCGCGGCGACGGCCCGAAGGGCGAGCGAAGCGAGUCAUCCUGCACGACCCACCA
rnacentral:sRNA from 2 species